rnacentral:rRNA from 1 species
GCUUAUACUCGMCCGUCAGCGGCACGUGCGAUCGCGCGAACUUUCACGAGCGAGCGCGGUCACGAAGCCCUGACGAGUAGGAGGGUCGCGGCGGUGAGCGCAGAAGGGCUGGCCGCGAGGCCGUCUGGAGCCGCCGUCGGUGCAGAUCUUGGUGGUAGUAGCAAAUACUCCAGCGAGGCCCUGGAGGACUGACGUGGAGAAGGGUUUCGUGUGAACAGCCGUUGCACACGAGUCAGUCGAUCCUAAGCCCUAGGCGAAAGCCGAUGUCGAUGCGGUGUAGUUUUUACGAUAAAUAGAUAGAUAGAUAGACGAAAUUCGACGACUACGACGAAAGAAACAUUAAUUCGUCGUCUAGUCGUUGUUGUCGUCGUCGUCGUCAUAAGUCUAAUUAAUAACGCGAGAGCACACACCCGUCGGGCGAAAGGGAAUCCGGUUCCUAUUCCGGAACCUGGCAGCGGAACCGUCAAAAAGUCGGGC